UUGACCUCAAAUCGGGUGAGACUACCCGCUGA
rnacentral:rRNA from 6 species